AUGAACGCUGGCGGCGUGCCUAAUACAUGCAAGUCGAGCGAACAGACGAGGAGCUUGCUCCUCUGACGUUAGCGGCGGACGGGUGAGUAACACGUGGAUAACCUACCUAUAAGACUGGGAUAACUUCGGGAAACCGGAGCUAAUACCGGAUAAUAUAUUGAACCGCAUGGUUCAAUAGUGAAAGACGGUUUUGCUGUCACUUAUAGAUGGAUCCGCGCCGCAUUAGCUAGUUGGUAAGGUAACGGCUUACCAAGGCGACGAUGCGUAGCCGACCUGAGAGGGUGAUCAGCCACACUGGAACUGAGACACGGUCCAGACUCCUGCGGGAGGCAGCAGUAGGGAAUCUUCCGCAAUGGGCGAAAGCUUGACGGAGCAACGCCGCGUGAGUGAUGAAGGUCUUCGGAUCGUAAAACUCUGUUAUUAGGGAAGAACAAAUGUGUAAGUAACUAUGCACGUCUUGACGGUACCUAAUCAGAAAGCCACGGCUAACUACGUG
rnacentral:rRNA from 1 species